ACAGCUGGAUAGCUCAGUUGGUUAGAGCAUGGUGCUAAUAAUACCAAGGUUUCAGGUUUGAGCCCCGUAAGAGACAGCUGCA
rnacentral:tRNA from 1 species